AGUGAACGCUGGCGGUAGGCCUAACACAUGCAAGUCGAACGGCAGCACAGUAAGAGCUUGCUCUUACGGGUGGCGAGUGGCGGACGGGUGAGGAAUACAUCGGAAUCUACUUUUUCGUGGGGGAUAACGUAGGGAAACUUACGCUAAUACCGCAUACGACCUACGGGUGAAAGCAGGGGAUCUUCGGACCUUGCGCGAUUGAAUGAGCCGAUGUCGGAUUAGCUAGUUGGCGGGGGAAAGGCCCACCAAGGCGACGAUCCGUAGCUGGUCUGAGAGGAUGAUCAGCCACACUGGAACUGAGACACGGUCCAGACUCCUACGGGAGGCAGCAGUGGGGAAUAUUGGACAAUGGGCGCAAGCCUGAUCCAGCCAUACCGCGUGGGUGAAGAAGGCCUUCGGGUUGUAAAGCCCUUUUGUUGGGAAAGAAAGGCAGCAGGUUAAUACCCCGCUGUUCUGACGGUACCCAAAGAAUAAGCACCGGCUAACUUCGUG
rnacentral:rRNA from 1 species